ACACCGCUGUUAGAUUGUCUGUCUCGCUGUGCAGCUUUGGGUACCCCAGGUGCUGACAAUCAGGUUUGCCAUUACUAGAGGAAAUCCCAAUGCAGAGACUGAUGUCAAGAGUGGGGUUUAUCAGUCUACAGUAUCUCCAGCAUUUGGGAGUGAGCAGAAUGGAAUGGCCUUCCUGCAGUCCUGACCUCAGCCUCAAUGAACACUUGUGGGAUCAGCAUGGACUUGCUGUUUGUGCCAGAGUGACAACACAACCACACUGGCUGACUUGAGACAAAUGCUGUUUGAAGAAUAGGAUGCCAUUACACAGCAGUGUCUUACCAGCAUUAGGAGGUGGUGUCAGGCUGUGUGGUUCUUCCACAUGCUACUGAGACCCCUGUUUAAUGACUAAUCUGUCAAAUUGGCAACAUGUCUUGUUCAAUCAUCCAAUCCAAUAAAUGACAC